rnacentral:lncRNA from 1 species
AGAAGGUUCGCUUCCUGGAACAGCAAAACAAGGCGCUGGCUGCUGAGCUGAACCAGCUGCGGGCCAAGGAGCCCACCAAGCUGGCAGACGUCUACCAGGCUGAGCUGCGAGAGCUGCGGCUGCGGCUCGAUCAACUCACCGCCAACAGCGCCCGGCUGGAGGUUGAGAGGGACAAUCUGGCACAGGACCUGGCCACUGUGAGGCAGAAGCUCCAGGAUGAAACCAACCUGAGGCUGGAAGCCGAGAACAACCUGGCUGCCUAUAGACAGGAAGCAGAUGAAGCCACCCUGGCCCGUCUGGAUCUGGAGAGGAAGAUUGAGUCGCUGGAGGAGGAGAUCCGGUUCUUGAGGAAGAUCCACGAGGAGGAGGUUCGGGAACUCCAGGAGCAGCUGGCCCGACAGCAGGUCCAUGUGGAGCUUGACGUGGCCAAGCCAGACCUCACCGCAGCCCUGAAAGAGAUCCGCACGCAGUAUGAGGCAAUGGCGUCCAGCAACAUGCAUGAAGCCGAAGAGUGGUACCGCUCCAAGUUUGCAGACCUGACAGACGCUGCUGCCCGCAACGCGG